GAGAUUUUAACUCGAGAUUUUCACCCAAACUCGUAUUUUAACAUAAUAAACCCUAAAUAUUCAUAUUUUAACUAUAUUUUGGGGAAAAUCCUUGCCUAAGAAUAAAAUCUGCUUGGUGAGAUAUUUAGGUGGAGUGUUGACUUAUCCUUUGGACAAGGACACAAGCAACCAUCCCAUACUUGCAUAGUACAACCCUCAGUCACUAUUCCUCCAUGCUUAGUCAAUUAAUUGUCCUUUCACACUAUUUCACCAGCCCAUAAUCAGAUCAAAGGGCUAGAAAAUCUUCACAUCACUUCCCUUAAUAUUCACUCUUUCUCAAGAAGGAUCAAACCCAUUUCUCUCUCAUUUCCUCUCUCUAAAAUUCGAGAUUCAAAGGUUGGUCUUGGGUUUUUCCCCCACGAACUUCACAACCAAGUUACCCAAGUCAAAGGGUGGUCCCGAUACCCUUUGGGUAAUUCUUGAUAGGUCGACCAAAUCCGCGCACUUCCUACCAAUCAAAGGAACCAGCAAGAUGGAGAAUUUGACUAGAACGUACAUCAAAUAGAUCACAUGACUGCAUGGUGUGUUAAUACCCAUUAUCUCUAACAGAGAUGGUAGAUUCCUUUCGUGAUUCUGGCAACCCUUAUAGGGACUAGACUAGGCUUGAGUACGGCCUACCACCAGCAAACUGACGGGCAGAGCAAAGGAAACCAUUCACACCUGGGAAGACAUGCUAAUGGCUUGGGUGAUUGACUUUGGUAAAGCGUGGUGAUGCCCACUUUCCAUUCAAUGAAUUUUUGCACAACAACAACAAUCACCCUAACAUCAAGGUCGCUGCAUUCAAAGCUUUCUAUAUCCGUAAGGGCAGAUCACCACUGCGCUUGGCUGAAGUGGGAGAUACACAACUAGAGAAGGGGUGAGUCCUUAACAGCACCCUCACUGACCCUGAAAUCAUAAGAGAGACAACAGAAAAAAUCGUACAAAUUCGAGAAAGACUGAAAGCGUCUUGAGAUCGAAAAAAGAGCUAUGCAUAUAAGCGACUCAAACCCUUGGAUUUCCAGGUUGGUGACCAUGUACUACUGAAGGUCUCACCGUGGAGAAGAAUGGUACGUUUUGGUAAACGUGGGAGCUAAAUCCAAGACACAUCGGGUCAUUUGAAAUCUUCGCCAGGAUUGGGCACUGGUAGACAAACUUCGACUGCCACAAGAACUUAAUAACAUACAUCUUACCUUCCACGUAUCAAACUUAAAAGAAAUGCCUAUCCGACGAGACUCUCGUGAUCCCACUCGAUGAAAUCAAACUCGACGAGAGUCUCCACUUUGUGGAAAAACCGAUAGAAAUCAAGCCGUAUUCCUAUUGUGAAUGUCCGUUGGAACGCUAAACGAGGACCCAAAUUUACAUGGGAAUGCAAGGAUCAAAUGAAACGAAAGUAUCCACAUCUUUUCCCAAACUCUUGAAGUCCUUAUCAAAAUGAUAAUUUCGGGACGAAAUUCCUUCUAACGGGGGGAUGAUGUGACAACUGUCAAUUUCUAGUCGAGUCAAAGUCAAAUGAAGUCAUCAAGUCAAACCGGUCAACUCAACUAACCCUUGUUUACUAGGGUUUACGUUAUGUAAUUAUUGUUCAACUCGCUAUUUUAAUAAGAAGUCAUCACUUGGAAAGUUCAUAAGUUUAGGAUUCUUGAACCCUAAUCGGGGUAAGAGAUGUAACAAAACGAUAAAACACUAUUGCAUACCCUUCGGAUGUGUGUAAGAUCCUUAAACAUGGCUUAUUGGGGAUUACGAACCUUGCAUUUCGAAGUUAAACAAUCGUAGAGGUCACAAACUAAGUCUCUCUCGAUCUCUCUCACUCUAUCUCUCUCUAUCUUAGAUCUCUCCCAAAUCUCUCUCUUAAUGAGAAAUCUCUCCAAGUAUGUGAAAUCUCUCCCAAAUCUCUCUUUAAAUGAGAAAUCUCUCCAAGUAUGUGAAAUCUCUCCCAAAUCUCUCUCUGGAUGAGAAAUCUCACCAAGUAUGUGAAAUCUCUCUCAAAUCUCUCUCUGAAUGAGAAAACUCUCCAAGUAUGUGAAAUAUCUCCCAAAUCUCUCUCUGAAUGAGAAAUCUCUCCAAGUAUGUGAAAUCUUUCGCAAAUCUCUCUCAACUUCUUAUAAUCACGCAGGGCAUCCCGACCCUUAAUUUAGACGAAAACUGCUCGAAAAAGGAAGUUUAUGCGAAAAACAGCCUUAAGGAGCCGAACCCUCUUAAGUCACCCUUAAGGAGCCGAACCCUCUUAAGGAGAAGAACCCUUCUACUAGAAACGAAACUAAGAAGAACCGAAGGUAAGAGGACCAAAGCUACCCUUUGAGAACCGAACUUAGCUCGCCUGAACCGAACCUCGCCUAGGACCGAGCCUCGCCUUCGCUCCCUUCCCUUCGCAUGCGAGACUUCUCAGGGACCGAACUCUCCUCUCGGUUCUCAUCUACUUUCGGUUCUAUGAGCUGGAACCGAACCACCGGCCCUGAAUUUCGGAAUUUGGCAAAUUUUCCCCGGUUUUCAAGAUUUUUAGCGUUUGGAGCCCGUUUAUCGAGAUUUUAACUCGAGAUUUUCACCCAAACUCGUAUUUUAACAUAAUAAACCCUAAAUAUUCAUACUUUAACUAUAUUUUGGGGGAAACUCCUUGCCUAAGAAUAAAAUCUGCUUGGUGUGAUAUUUAGGUGGAGUGUUGACUUAUCCUUUGGACAAGGACACAAGCAACCUUCCCAUACAUUCAUAGUACAACCCUCAGUCACUAUUCCUCCAUGCUUAGUCAAUUAAUUGUCCUUUCACACUAUUUCACCAGCCCAUAAUCAGAUCAAAGGGCUAGAAAAUCUUCACUUCACUUCCCUCAAUAUUCAGUCUUUCUCAAGAAGGAUCAAACCCAUUUCUCUCUCAUUUCCUCUCUCUAAAAUUCGAGAUUCAAAGGCUGGUCUUGGGUUUUUCCCCCACGAACUUCACAACCAAGUUACCCAAGUCAAAGGGUGGUCCCGAUAACCCUUGGGUAAUUGUUGAUAGGUCGACCAAAUCCGUGCACUUCCUACCUAUCAAAGGAACCAGCAAGAUGGAGAAUUUGACUAGAACGUACAUCAAUCAGAUCACAUGACUGCAUGGUGUGUUAAUACCCACUAUCUCUAACAGAGAUGGUAGAUUCCUUUCGCGGUUCUGGCAACCUUUACAGGGACUAGACUAGGCUUGAGUACGGCCUACCACCAGCAAACUGACAGGCAGAGCAAAGGAAACCAUUCAAACCCGGGAAGACAUGCUAAUGGCUUGGGUGAUUGACUUUGGUAAAGCGUGGGGAUGCCCACUUACCAUUCAUUGAAUUUUUGCACAACAACAACAAUCACCCUAAUAUCAAGGUCGCUCCAUUCAAAGCUUUUUAUAGCCAUAAGGGCAGAUCACCACUGUGCUUGGCUGAAGUGGGAGAUACACAGCUAGAGAAGGGGUGAGUCCCUAACAACACCCUCACUGACCCUGAAAUCAUAAGAGAGACAACGGAAAAAAUCGUACAAAUUCGAGAAAGACUGAAAGCAUCUCGAGAUCUACAAAAGAACUACACAUAUAAGCGACUCAAACCCUUGGAUUUCUAGGUUGGUGACCAUGUACUACUAAAGGUCUCACCGUGGAGAAGAAUGGUACGUUUUGGUAAACGUGGGAGCUAAAUCCAAGACACAUCGGGUCAUUUGAAAUCUUUGCCAGGAUUGGCCACUGGCAGACAAACUUCGAUUGCCACAAGAACUUAAUAACAUACAUCUUACCUUCCACGUAUCAAACUUAAAAGAAAUGUCUAUCCGACGAGACCCUCGUUAUACCACUCGAUGAAAUCAAACUCGACGAGAGUCUCCACUUUGUGGAAAAACCGAUAGAAAUAAAGCCACAUUCCUAUUGUGAAUGUCCGUUGGAACGCUAAACGAGGACCCAAAUUUACAUGGGAACGCGAGGAUCAAAUGAAAAGAAAGUAUCCACAUCUUUUCCCAAACUCUUGAAGUCCCCAUCAAAAUGCUAAUUUCGGGACGAAAUUCCUUCUAAUGGGGGGAUGAUGUGACAAUUGUCAAUAUCUAGUCGAGUCAAAGUCAAAUAAAGUCAACAAGUCAAACCGGUCAACUCAACUAACCCUUGUAUACUAGGGUUUACGUUAUGUAAUUAUUGUUCAACUCGCUAUUUUAAUAAGAAGUCAUCACUUGGAAAGUUCAUAAGUUUAGGAUUCUUGAACCCUAAUCGGGAUAAGAGAUGUAACAAAAUGAUAAAACACUAUUGCAUACCCUUCGGAGGUGUGUAAGAUCCUUAAACAUGGCUUCUUGGCGAUUACGUACCUUUCAUUUCGAAGUUAAACACUCGUAGAGGUCACAAACUAAGUCUCUUUCGAUCUCUCUCACUCUAUCUCUCUCUAUCUUAAAUCUCUCCCAAAUCUCUCUCUAAAUGAGAAAUCUCUCCAAGUAUGUGAAUUCUCUCCCAAAUCUCUCUCUGAAUGAGAAAUCUCUCCAAGUAUGUGAAAUAUCUCCCAAAUCUCUCUCUGAAUGAGAAAUCUCUCCCGAAAUCUCUCUCAAAAUCUCUGUCAACUUCUUAUAAUCACCCGGGGCAUCCCGACCCUUAAUUUAGACGAAAACCGCUCAAAAACGGAAGUUUACGCGAAAAACAUCCUUAAGGAGCCGAACCCUCUUAAGGAGAAGAACCCUUCUAUUAGAAAAGAAACUAAGAAGAACCGAAGGUAAGAGGACCAAAGCUACCCUUUGAGAACCGAACUUAGCUCGCCUGAACCGAACCGCGCCUAGGACCGAGCCUCGCCUUCGCUCCCUUCCCUUCGCAUGCGAGACUUCUCAGGGACCGAACCCUCCUCUCAGUUCUCAUCUACUUACGGUUCUAUGAGCUGCAACCGAACCCCCGGCCCAGAAUUUCGGAAUUUGGCAAAUUUUGCCCGGUUUUCAAGAUUUUUAGCGUCUGGAGCCCAUUUAUCGAGAUUUUAACUCGAGAUUUUCACCCAAACUCGUAUUUUAACAUGAUAAACCCUAAAUAUUCAUAUUUUAACUAUAUUUUGGGGAAAAUCCUUGCCUAAGAAUAAAAUCUGCUUGGUGAGAUAUUUAGGUGGAGUGUUGACUUAUCCUUUGGACAAGGACACAAGCAACCUUCCCAUACUUUCAUAGUACAACCCUCAGUCACUAUUACUCCUUGCUCAGUCAAUUAAUUGUCCUUUCACACUAUUUCACCAG
rnacentral:lncRNA from 1 species